rnacentral:lncRNA from 1 species
UUCUGCUUCAAACUAAUAUUUUCUUGUAGUGCUGAGUUUAUUAUUAUAUUUUAAGCACCUUACAUAUUUCAACACAAGAUGUUCCCAGCUGUGCUGAGCACAUGCUAAAGUGGGAGCUGACUCUCUGGGUUGGAAGAAAUUAAGGUGUCUGAUUUUCUGAAGAAUCUUGUUUGGUAUAGAAGCUUCAGCAGUUACUUCCAGCCAUCCUAGAACUCUCUCAUGACAUCCCUUCUGGCGAUUUCGGAGUUCUCCUAGGACUGUGACACUUUGACCUGUAUGUACCUUGACCACGUGAACAGCACACUCAUUUUUGGCCCUGAAAGGUAUAUAAAUCAUGUCCUGUCCUGGAAUCUGAAUGUCUUCCCUUUUCACAGUGGAUAAGGCUAUACUUCCUCUUGGCUUCUUGAAGGUAUGCUGAGAACUAAUGAGAUGGGUUUGUGGAAUGCUUUGAGCUGCUGACAUGAAAAGAACAAUGCUCUAGCUUUGUGAAUAACAUAACCCCUAUUGUCAGUGAAUCCACUGAGUCAGAUGAGGACAGGGAGAGACCUACUAGAAUCAAAGAUACUAACAAACCAGGGAGGGCCAGCUCGUUGCUGUAAUUGCUGAUGGCAGUGACAACUGAGGAGAGUGAUGAAAACGUAAAGAAGGAAAACAGCUCAGACUCCCACUGAUUCUACCUUAUGGCCUGACAAAAUAAGUGGCUGUGCUCGGAAAGCCCAAGUGACAAUGAAGUCCAGGUAACCUCUAGGAAUUGCAGGUUCCCUCUUGGAGCUGAGGACAGUCUCCAGUCUCCAGCCAGCAAGAAGCCAGGGCCCUCGGUCCUACUGCUGCAAGGAAAGGAAUUUUGCCUGUGCCCGGAGUCAGAGUGGAAGCCAGUUCUUCUCCAGUGAAUGUGAACGCAGCCUGGCCAGCCCCUUGAUGGCAGGCGUGAGACCCUAAGUGGGGGACUGAGUGUACCUGGACACCUGAUCCAUAAAAACUGUGAGAAAAAUCUGUCUUGUUUUAAGGCCACUACGUUUGUGGCAAUUUGCAGCAAUAAAUAAUUAAGUACAAGUACAUGUCACCCAAGGUCAACUAUUUUCAACAGUUUCCAAUUGUUUCAUUUAUACCUCCAUGUCUGGAGCUGGGUGGGUGGGAGGAGGGGAG